rnacentral:rRNA from 1 species
AAUGAACGCUGGCGGCGCGCCUAAUACAUGCAAGUCGAGCGAGAAGACGUAGCAAUACGUCUGUAAAGCGGCGAACGGGUGAGGAAUACAUGGGUAACCUACCCUCGAGUGGGGAAUAACUAGCCGAAAGGUUAGCUAAUACCGCGUACGCUCCUUGGACUUCGGUUCAGGGAGGAAAGCGAUACCGUGGGUAUCGCGCUCUUGGAUGGGCUCAUGUCCUAUCAGCUUGUUGGUGAGGUAACGGCUCACCAAGGCUUCGACGGGUAGCUGGUCUGAGAGGACGAUCAGCCACACUGGCACUGCGACACGGGCCAGACUCCUACGGGAGGCAGCAGUAAGGAAUAUUGCGCAAUGGGCGAAAGCCUGACGCAGCGACGCCGCGUGGGGGAUGAAGGUCUUCGGAGUGUAAACCUCUGUUGCCCGGGACGAAUAGCGGAUUAUUCCGACUUGACGGUACCGGGUGAGGAAGCACCGGCUAACUCCGUGCCAGCCGCCGCCGU